UGAGGAAUAUUGGUCAAUGGGCGCAAGCCUGAACCAGCCAAGUAGCGUGCAGGAAGACGGCCCUAUGGGUUGUAAACUGCUUUUAUACGAGAAUAAUUUGAUGCACGUGUGCGUUAUUGCAUGUAUCGUAUGAAUAAGGACCGGCUAAUUCCGUGCCAGCAGCCGCGGUAAUACGGAAGGUCCAGGCGUUAUCCGGAUUUAUUGGGUUUAAAGGGAGUGUAGGCGGUUUGUUAAGCGUGUUGUGAAAUUUAGAUGCUCAACAUUUAAUUUGCAGCGCGAACUGUCAGACUUGAGUACACGCAACGUAUGCGGAAUUCAUGGUGUAGCGGUGAAAUGCUUAGAUAUCAUGAAGAACUCCGAUUGCGAAGGCAGCAUACGGGAGUGUAACUGACGCUUAAGCUCGAAGGUGCGGGUAUCGAACAGGAUUAGAUACCCUGGUAGUCCGCACAGUAAACGAUGGAUGCCCGCUGUUAGCGCCUGGCGUUAGCGGCUAAGCGAAAGCAUUAAGCAUCCCACCUGGGGAGUACGCCGGCAACGGUG
rnacentral:rRNA from 1 species